rnacentral:SRP_RNA from 1 species
GCUGGGUGUGGUGGCUCACACUUGUAAUCCCAGCACUUUGGGAGGCCAAGGCGGGUGGAUCACCUGAGGUCAGGAAUUCGAAACCAACGUGGCCAACAUGAUGAAACCCUGUCUCUACUAAAGAUACAAAAAAAUUAGCCAGGCGUGGUGGCGCACGCCUGUAAUCCCAGCUACUUGGGAGGCUGAGGCAGAAGAAUCACUUGUAUUUUUUAGUAGAGUUGGGGUUUCAGCAUGUUGGCCAGGCUGGUCUUGAACUCCUGACCUCAGGUGAUCCACCUGCCUC